rnacentral:lncRNA from 1 species
GGAAAAUAAGUCAUCUUUUUGAAAACUAGACCAUCGACUCAUGUCUUCCUUUUUUUUGUAGGAACGAUGAGAGGGAGACCUUCUGUAGAACGUACUGAAAGACAUGAGGCCCAAAAUCGUCCGACAAGGGCCGAGUUUACCAAAAUCUUCUAAGCUAUCCAAGGAUUGACCGCAACUGUAGGACAGAACCAAGCCAACCCUUGUCAACACCCUUUCUUAGAAUACCAACCAGUUGAAAGGUCUAUCUCUCAAAACAUAACGGAAUUAGGAAGCUUAACUUGCCACACGUCGAGGGUGGCCCUGAUCCUUUAGUAGCUGAAGCUUGGAUCCUGCAGAUAUAGAAGUUUUUCUCUAUCCUAGACCUAAUCGAGGAACAGAAAUCCCCCCUAGUAGCCUUUUUGCUAACCAAUGAAGCAGAACACUGGUAAUGACUUAAGAAGGAAAUCCUACCUACCCCUACCACUUCGAAAGUUUUCAUGAACGCGU